CCUACGGGUGGCAGCAGUGAGGAAUAUUGGUCAAUGGCCGGAAGGCUGAACCAGCCAUGCCGCGUGAAGGUCAGUGCCCCAUGGGCGUUAAACUUUCUUUUUGCGGGAGCAAUAAUGGUCACGUGUGACCAGACGAGAGUACCGUACGAAUAAGCCUCGGCCAACCACGUGCCAGAAGCCGCGGUAAUACGGGGGAUGCAAGCGUUAUCCGGAUUUAUUGGGUUUAAAGGGGACGUAGGCUGUGAGGUAAGUCAGCGGUGAAAUGCCCCCGCUCAACGGGGUGAAGUGCCAUUGAUACUGCCUUGCUGGAAUGCGGAUGCCGUGGGAGGAAUGUGUGGUGUAGCGGUGAAAUGCAUAGAUAUCACACAGAACACCGAUUGCGAAGGCAUCUCACGAAUCCGCGAUUGACGCUGAUGCACGAAAGCGUGGGUAUCAAACAGGAUUAGAUACCCUUGUAGUC
rnacentral:rRNA from 1 species